rnacentral:rRNA from 1 species
UUGCCCGAUGACCUGAAUAUCCGUUAUGGAAAAUUCAUCAUUAAAGUUGUAAUAUUUUAACAAUAUUAUAAUAAUAGUGUGCAUUUUUUCCAUAUAAGGACAUUGUAAUCUAUUAGCAUAUACCAAAUUUAUCAUAAAAUAUGGCUUAUAGUUUAUUCAAAUUAUUAUGCUUGCAUUUUAACAUAGAAUAAAUGUCAUUGCCCGAUGAACCUGAAUAUCCGUUAUGGAAAAUUCAUCAUUAAAGUUGUAAUAUUUUAUCAUCAUCGAUAUUAUCAUCGAUAUUUGUGUUUAUUAUAAGCAU